AUUGAACGCUGGCGGCAGGCCUAACACAUGCCAGUCGAACGGAAGCAGGGAGCUUGCUCCUGGGUUGCGAGGGGGACGGGGGAGUGUUGCCUAGGAAUCUGCCUGGUAGAGGGGGAGAACGUCCGGAAACGGGCGCUAUUACCGCAUACGCCAUGAGCGAGAAAGUGGGGGAGCUUCGGACCUCACGCUCUAUGGGGAGGCGAGGUCGGAUUAGCUAGUUGGUGGGGUAAAGGCCUACCAAGGCGACGAUCCGUAGCUGGUCUGAGAGGAUGAUCAGUCACACUGGAACUGAGACACGGUCCAGACUCCUACGGGAGGCAGCAGUGGGGAAUAUUGGACAAUGGGCGAAAGCCUGAUCCAGCCAUGCCGCGUGUGUGAAGAAGGUCUUCGGGUUGUAAAGCACUUUAAGCUGGGAGGAAGGGCAUUAAGUUAAUACCUUGCUGUUUUGACGUUACCAGCAGAAUAAGCACCGGCUAACUUCGUG
rnacentral:rRNA from 1 species